UUUCAGCAGAACUCUCCUCUUCCGUAUACGGGCAGUAUACGGGUCACCUGACACGGCAAGAACCAAGGGACAAACCUCCUCCACACUGAGUACGGCCUGGAAAGGCGAAGCUUAAAAAUACAGGAACAGAACCCCGAAUCGCAGCGAGUCAGCGGAGCAAGUUUGAAUGACCCUGUCAGCUGACCACGGCCCACCGUGACCGCGGUCGACCCCGAGCAGUAGGGCUCCCCACCGAGUCGAGGGGAUUGAACGCCGGGAAGAUGGAGAGGUGGAAGACUCACGUCCGCUCGGAGCUUCUGAAGCGAGAUUCUCUCCAGAGGGACCCGUACGAGCGCUGGUUCAGUUCGUAUUCCCGUCUGCUGGAGAGACUGGACCUGCGGGAGACCUUGUGGGAGGAAGCCAAGCAAUUCAGCCCAGACGCCAGCGGGUGGGUGCAGUCUCUGGAGGAUCCGGUCCGCGUGCAGCUGGAGCUGAGAGAGAGCCGGCUCGCUCGCCAGCAGCAAUCUGAGACAAUGUCAGAGCUCACUGCCCGCCUGGGUCUGAUGGAGGCGGAGUUGCAGUACUGUCACUCACAAGUGAGCCGUUACCGCACGGAGGCUGUCUCCCUGUCCCGCCUGGCCACCACGCUGCAGGCCAGCCUGCUGGAGUGCGAGCUACAGCUGGAGCAGCAGGCGGAGGAGCUGGCGGGCCUGCGGCAGAGCCGGGCGGAGCUGGAGGCGGGGCUGGGCCAGGCGGAGAGGGAGAGGGAGGAGCUGCUGCAGCGCUGGCUGGUGGAGAAGCGGGAGCAGGCAGAGAGGGUGAACCUGCACAAUGAUGCCCAGGAGAGGUGGCUCCGCCUAACAAACAGGCUGAAGAAGCUUCUCCGACACCGGACACCCCGCCUGUCCCUGCUGGCAGCCAGCUGUACGAGGGACAUGGAGCUCCGGGUUCGAGCCCUUGGCGGGACAGAAGGGGAGACUGAGGGAGGAGACCCUGUUGUUCCGUAG
rnacentral:lncRNA from 1 species